rnacentral:rRNA from 1 species
AUUGAACGCUGGCGGCAGGCCUAACACAUGCAAGUCGAGCGGAUGACGGGAGCUUGCUCCUUGAUUCAGCGGCGGACGGGUGAGUAAUGCCUAGGAAUCUGCCUGGUAGUGGGGGACAACGUUUGGAAAGGAACGCUAAUACCGCACACGUCCUACGGGAGAAAGCAGGUGACCUUCGGGCCUCGCGCUAUCAGAUGAGCCUAGGUCGGAUUAGCUAGUUGGUGAGGUAAUGGCUCACCAAGGCGACGAUCCGUAACUGGUCUGAGAGGAUGAUCAGUCACACUGGAACUGAGACACGGUCCAGACUCCUACGGGAGGCAGCAGUGGGGAAUAUUGGACAAUGGGCGAAAGCCUGAUCCAGCCAUGCCGCGUGUGUGAAGAAGGUCUUCGGAUUGUAAAGCACUUUCAGCGAGGAGGAAGGGGUGAGUGUUAAUAGUACUCAUCUUUGACGUUACUCGCAGAAGAAGCACCGGCUAACUCUGUGCCAGCCGCCGCCGUAA